rnacentral:rRNA from 1 species
CUGAGAGGGCGCACGGACACACUGGAACUGAAACACGGUCCAGACUCCUACGGGAGGCAGCAGUGGGGAAUUUUGCGCAAUGGGGGAAACCCUGACGCAGCAACGCCGCGUGGAGGAUGAAGUACUUCGGUACGUAAACUCCUUUCGAUCGGGACGAUAAUGACGGUACCGGAAGAAGAAGCCCCGGCUAACUUCGUGCCAGCAGCCGCGGUAAUACGAGGGGGGCAAGCGUUGUUCGGAAUUAUUGGGCGUAAAGGGUGCGUAGGCGGUUUGGUAAGUCUUGUGUGAAAUCUCCGGGCUCAACUCGGAGUCUGCAUAGGAAACUGCCGGGCUUGAGUGUGGGAGAGGUGAGUGGAAUUUCCGGUGUAGCGGUGAAAUGCGUAGAUAUCGGAAGGAACACCUGUGGCGAAAGCGGCUCACUGGACCACAACUGACGCUGAUGCACGAAAGCUAGGGGAGCAAACAGGAUUAGAUACCCUGGUAGUCCUAGCCCUAAACGAUGACUGCUUGGUGUGACGGGUACCCAAUCCCGCCGUGCCGUAGCUAACGCGUUAAGCAGUCCGCCUGGGGAGUACGGUCGCAAGGCUGAAACUCA